rnacentral:rRNA from 1 species
CCUACGGGAGGCAGCAGUGGGGAAUAUUGGACAAUGGGCGCAAGCCUGAUCCAGCAAUGCCGCGUGGGUGAAGAAGGUCUUCGGAUUGUAAAGCCCUUUUGGCGGGGACGAUGAUGACGGUACCCGCAGAAUAAGCCCCGGCUAACUUCGUGCCAGCAGCCGCGGUAAUA